CUCCACAACCCGGUAGAUAGGGGAGGUUGACGUGGGGCGACCGGUGCGAAUGGACGCGGGAGGGAUGUUCGCUGCUGGGGGAGAAGCGAAUGGGGAAUGACGGGACGUUCUGGAUUAAGGAACUGCUAUCUUAAUCGUGACACUUGUAAAUAUGUUAAUUUGUUAAUUUGAUGUUAAUGCUUAAAUGCCUUGAAUAUGAAUACACAAUACAUGUUAGCUGCUGCCACUCACUCAGCUAUGAUUUUGGGGGUCGCGGCGGAGAGGAGAACCCCAUGUAUACUCUUAGACACCUUAUCUGGGCGGAGCUCGAGUCGCGUUCCCUAACACAUACACUCACGCUAAGAGGUCUGUGGCCAGGCUACGGGGUGUCUCGUCUCUUGGGCUGGUACCAG